GUAGGGAGCAAACGUUGUCCGGAUUCAUUGGGCGUAAAGGGCUCGUAGGCGGUUCAACAAGUCGGUCGUGAAAACCCGGGGCUCAACCCCGGGACGCCGGUCGAAACUGUUGUGACUAGAGUUCGGUAGAGGUGAGUGGAAUUCUCGGUGUAGCGGUGGAAUGCGCAGAUAUCGAGAGGAACACCAUUAGCGAAGGCGGCUCACUGGGCCGAUACUGACGCUGAGGAGCGAAAGCGUGGGGAGCAAACAGGAUUAGAUACCCUGGUAGUCCACGCCGUAAACGAUGAACACUAGGUGUGGCGGACUGAUUCAUGUCUGCUGCGCCGUAGCUAACGCAUUAAGUGUUCCGCCUGGGAGCACGGCCGCAAGGCUAA
rnacentral:rRNA from 1 species